GUGACGUGGUGACAAGAAACAGAGGCGCUGGAAAAUAUUGGAAAAAAGCGAUAUUUCAGUGCUCUGGUGUCUGGAGAGUUGGAAAACCUCUCCCAACUAGCGCCGCUUGAGAACCUCUCCCUGUAACCCUCGAGCCCAGAGCCGAUAAAGCCAUCUCCUUCGUUUCCUCUCUCUCUUUUCAUUUCUCAUAGAACCGAAACCCUAGCUUCUAUCUUCAACACAGAACGUCAAAACAUGAAUCCAUCUCCAUCCCUGUCAAAAACGGAACCCAGCCAUGGCGAUCUUUGAUUCUAGCCCAGAUUGUCACCAUCGUGCAUUCCUCUGCGAAACCCGAGACUUGGGGAUCCGACUAAGGCCAGGGGGCAUAGGAACUGCAAGGAGCAAUGGCUCACAAAUGAAGGUGCUGUACACACAGCAUAGAUGGCUGCAAGAACUCGGAUCUACAAAAUGAAAGGUAAAUCAAAUCCCUCCACUGCGUUAAAAUUAAGCAUGGUUUAAUAUCUCUGAAAGUCAUACAGAUUUGUGAAAUGUUUCUGUCAUGCAUUUAUAGACCUAAAAUUUUGUCAAUGCUCAUGUAAUUUUCUGUGUGCUUGCAUGCCUCCAUGUGACAAAUAUUGAGACAAAAACUGUGCAUGACACUGGAUCUGUGACAUGGCUUUGAUGAAUGUCCACCUCUGUGUUGCCUGGACCAACAAUAUUUUAAUGAAAUAUGAGAGCGAGGGAGCGAAAGCAUCACAGAUGUUCAGUCUUUCUCUAGGCAAAUCCGCUGAGCAAGCAACACCAAUUUCUAGAACAGAGAUUAAACUUUCUAUGAUUAGGACGCGAUUGCUUGCCCUCCCCUCAUUAGGAUGAUUGCUCUCUUGAACAAGAACGGGAUCCAAAACCUCUUCCACUUGCUCAGGCAGAGCUGCCUUCACAAAGCUAUAAAGGGAACAUAGAUAAAAUUGGAAAGUUUCGUUUAUAAAAGACAAUGAAACCGACACACCUGGCAUUCGAAGUGGUGACCUGCUGACAAGAAAUAAACAGAGGCGCUGGAAAAUAUUGGAAAAAGAAGCAAAAUUUCAGUGCUCUGGAGAGUUGAACCCGUGACAGGAAACAUGAACUAGAGGCCCGUUUCCACAUCUCUCCUAACUAGCGCCGUACCCGCGACCCCAGAGCCGUGAAAGCUAUCUCUUUCAUUUCCUCUUUCCCUUCAUUUCUCAUGGAACUGAAACCCUAGCUUCUAUCAUCAACCCAGAACGUCAAAACAUGAAUCCAUCUCCAUCUCUGUCACAAACGGAACCCAGCCAUGGCGAUCUUUGAUUCUAGCCCAGAUUGUCACCAUCGUGCAUUCCUCUCCGAAAACCGAGACUUGGGGAUCCGAGUAAGGCCAAGGGGAAUAGGAACUGCAAGGAGCAAUGGCUCACAAUUGAAGGUGCUGUACACACAGCAAAGAUGGCUGCAAGAACUCGGAUCUACAAAAUGAAAGGUAAAUCAAAUCCCUCCACUGCGUUAAAAUUAAGCAUGGUUUAAUAUCUCUGAAAGUCAUACGGAUUUGUGAAAUGUUUCUCUCAUGCAUUUAUAGACCUAAAAUUUCGUCAAUGCUCAUGUAAUUUUCUGUGACAUGGCUUUGAUGAAUGCCCACCUCUGUGUUGCCUGGACCACCCCCAAACUAUAUGUAAAACAAUAUUUUAAUGAAAUAUGAGAGUGAGCGAGCGAAAGAUAAA